GUCUACGGCCAUACUGCCCGAUCUCGUCUGAUCUCGGAAGCUAAGCAGGGUUGGGCCUGGUUAGUACUUGGAUGGGAGACCGCCUGGGAACACUGGGUGCUGUAGGCU
ensembl:rRNA 5S_rRNA 5S ribosomal RNA